UAAAUCUUUUUGUCAUUCUGCACCGGCCAAUACUACUAAUAUACUCACCUUAAAUGUUCUUUCUGUGUAUUUUCACAGAAUUAUCAUAGCAUUUUUAACGUGUGUCUGGGCUGCAUACACUUCUCAGCUGGUCAAGACUCCCUUGGGGCUGUUACCUUCAUGGUAUUUCCCUUCCUCACCCUGAUUCCAGUUAUGUCAGAGUUUGAUCACCCAGUCAACAAUUUGAUCUCACCAUGAUCUCACAGGAUACUCGUGAUGAGGUCACAAUGUGAGCUCAAUUGCGAUAAGGAUGAUUCCAGGAUCUUGGAAGCUUGUUAAAAAUAAGGAUGUUCCUGCACAGUCAGCAUCUGUGGAUUGCGGUGUAUUCAUGAUGAUGGUAUCAAGGGUUUUGUGUCCCCAUCACAUUCAUCUUGGGCAUAACCCCACAUCCAUAACAAUUGUCAUCAAAAGACAUCAGGCUGAUCCCAGUGAAAAAAAGAUUUAUAUAUAUCA